rnacentral:misc_RNA from 1 species
GUUGAGCCGAAGAUAGAUCAGAAGAAAAGAAAUCAAACAUAACAUCCUUACCAACAUGCCAUUGGCUAACAAGAAACUUUUUGGAAUUUAAGUCAUUCAUUGCAUGACUUUGAUGCUUCAUCGUAAAGUAAGGCUGAGAAAUUAACUCCUUCCAAGAUUUAAAUCGAAGAAGAGACCGCACAGAUAACCUCUUGAGGAUGUUUACAAUGAUUUCUUUCUUGGAAGUGAAUUCGUUCGAUUCUUAAACAAUGGCAAGGCCCACGUGAAAGAUAACUAACCUGAUGAUUAUCAACAUCCAUCAG